GGCCGCGUAGCUCAAUUGGAUAGAGCACCUGACUACGGAUCAGGAGGUUGUGUGUUCGAGCCGCAUCGUGGUCA
rfam:Fonticula alba strain ATCC 38817 unplaced genomic scaffold supercont2.8, whole genome shotgun sequence.